UUCAUCUUUUGUGACUUCAUCUUCUGAAAAAAAAUUGCAGAACAGAAAUUCAAACUGCUUCAUGUAGGUAUCAGGUGUUUGCUGUGAUGUGUUCACCAGAAAGAGACAGGUUUGCAAAGGCAGUUACAGCCCAGGAGACUCUGUGUAGACUGUGACAUCUGAUUUUACUCAGGUGUCCAAAACAGGAGAUUUAUUUCCAAGAUACAAAUGGCCUGUGGCUACAUGAAGACAUCUGCAUAUCCAGUCUUUAUUCCCAGUGGGAGUUUCUCAACAGAUCUGAAGUGCCCUUUUCUUGUUCCCAGAACAAAAAGUGCUCAAGCACAUCCUCACUGCCAAGCUUUCUUUGGAAAAGAGCCGUAACUCUGUAUCUUCGUACUGAGAAAUUGAGGACAUAGAAGCAUUUCUAAACCUACCAACUGUUGAUAUCAGGGUAGGAGCCCCAACAUCCUCUCUCUGUGUCUUGGAUGCCCGAAAGCAUGGUGAAUGCAUAAUAUGACUAUUUUAAUGGUAAGUAAUCCAUCCAAAGCCCACUGGAUCUGCAGAAAUCUGAGUCUCCUCCUCUGGCUGCAAUGGUAGCAGAGUGCUGAGAAUCAGGCAGGAUUGUGCCCAUAGCUCAGUUCAAAAUGAUGUGCCAAAUUAACAGGCAUAAUCAAGAAUGACAUUGUGUAAGAGGUAAGAAAGACUAAUCAGAUGCUAACUUAGCUGAUGCUGGCAUUAUUGAAAGCCUGGGGACAUAGUCCAAGGAUAAAAGCAUAAUGUCUUAUCUAACCAAGGAGUCAUU
rnacentral:lncRNA from 1 species